rnacentral:rRNA from 1 species
GGUUAAGCGACUAAGCGUACACGGUGGAUGCCCGGCAGUCAGAGGCGAUGAAGGGCGUGCUAAUCUGCGAUAAGCGCCGGUAAGGUGAUAUGAACCGUUAUAACCGGCGAUACCCGAAUGGGGAACCCAGUGUGAUUCGUCACACUAUCAUUAACUGAAUCCAUAGGUUAAUGAGGCGAACCGGGGAACUGAAACAUCUAAGUACCCCGAGGAAAAGAAAUCAACCGAGAUUCCCCAGUAGCGGCGAGCGAACGGGGAGGAGCCCAGAGCCUGAAUCAGCAUGUGUGUUAGUGGAAGCGUCUGGAAAGGCGCGCGAUACAGGUGACAGCCCCGUACACAAAAGCGCAUGUGCUGUGAGCUCGAUGAGUAGGGCGGGACACGUGGUAUCCUGUCUGAAUAUGGGGGACCAUCCUCCAAGGCUAAAUACUCCUGACUGACCGAUAGUGAACCAGUACCGUGAGGGAAAGGCGAAAAGAACCCCGGCGAGGGAGUGAAAAAGAACCUGAAACCGUGUACGUACAAGCAGUGGGAGCACCCUUUGGGGUGUGACUGCGUACCUUUGUAUAAUGGGUCAGCGACUUAUAUUCUGUAGCAAGGUUAACCGUAUAGGGGAGCCGCAGGAAACCGAGUCUUAACCGGGCGUUAAGUUGCAGGGUAUAGACCCGAAACCCGGUGAUCUAGCCAUGGGCAGGUUGAAGGUUGGGUAACACUAACUGGAGGACCGAACCGACUAAUGUUGAAAAAUUAGCGGAUGAUCUGUGGCUGGGGGUGAAAGGCCAAUCAAACCGGGAGAUAGCUGGUUCUCCCGAAAGCUAUUUAGGUAGCGCCUCGUGAACUCAUCUCCGGGGUAGAGCACUGUUUCGGCUAGGGGCCAUCCCGGCUUACCAACCCGAUGCAAACUGCGAAUACCGGAGAAUGUUAUCACGGGAGACACACGGCGGGUGCUAACGUCCGUCGUGAAGAAAACAACCCAGACCGCCAGCUAAGGUCCCAAAGUCAUGGUUAAGUGGGAAACGAUGUGGGAAGGCCCAGACAGCGAGGAUGUUGGCUUAGAAGCAGCCAUCAUUUAAAGAAAGCGUAAUAGCUCACUGGUCGAGUCGGCCUGCGCGGAAGAUGUAACGGGGCUAAACCAUGCACCGAAGCUGCGGCAGCGACACUGUGUGUUGUUGGGUAGGGAGCGUUCUGUAAGCCUGUGAAGGUGUGUCGUGAGGCAUGCUGGAGGUAUCAGAAGUGCGAAUGCUGACAUAAGUAACGAUAAAGCGGGUGAAAAGCCCGCUCGCCGGAAGACCAAGGGUUCCUGUCCAACGUUAAUCGGGGCAGGGUGAGUCGACCCUAAGGCGAGGCCGAAAGGCGUAGUCGAUGGGAAACGGGUUAAUAUUCCCGUACUUGGUGUUACUGCGAAGGGGGACGGAGAAGGCUAUGUUGGCCGGGCGACGGUUGUCCCGGUUUAAGCGUGUAGGCUGGUUUUCGUGCAAAUCCGGAAAAUCAAGGCUGAGGCGUGACGACGAGGCACUACGGUGCUGAAGCAACAAAUGCCCUGCUUCCGGAAAAGCCUCUAAGCAUCAGGUAACACGAAAUCGUACCCCAAACCGACACAGGUGGUCAGGUAGAGAAUACCAAGGCGCUUGAGAGAACUCGGGUGAAGGAACUAGGCAAAAUGGUGCCGUAACUUCGGGAGAAGGCACGCUGACACGUAGGUGAAGUGAUUUACUCAUGGAGCUGAAGUCAGUCGAAGAUACCAGCUGGCUGCAACUGUUUAUUAAAAACACAGCACUGUGCAAACACGAAAGUGGACGUAUACGGUGUGACGCCUGCCCGGUGCCGGAAGGUUAAUUGAUGGGGUCAGCGCAAGCGAAGCUCCUGAUCGAAGCCCCGGUAAACGGCGGCCGUAACUAUAACGGUCCUAAGGUAGCGAAAUUCCUUGUCGGGUAAGUUCCGACCUGCACGAAUGGCGUAAUGAUGGCGGGCUGUCUCCACCCGAGACUCAGUGAAAUUGAACUCGCUGUGAAGAUGCAGUGUACCCGCGGCAAGACGGAAAGACCCCGUGAACCUUUACUAUAGCUUGACACUGAACAUUGAGCCUUGAUGUGUAGGAUAGGUGGGAGGCUUUGAAGUGUGGACGCCAGUCUGCAUGGAGCCGACCUUGAAAUACCACCCUUUAAUGUUUGAUGUUCUAACGUGGACCCGUAAUCCGGGUUGCGGACAGUGUCUGGUGGGUAGUUUGACUGGGGCGGUCUCCUCCUAAAGAGUAACGGAGGAGCACGAAGGUUGGCUAAUCUGGUCGGACAUCAGGAGGUUAGUGCAAUGGCAUAAGCCAGCUUGACUGCGAGCGUGACGGCGCGAGCAGGUGCGAAAGCAGGUCAUAGUGAUCCGGUGGUUCUGAAUGGAAGGGCCAUCGCUCAACGGAUAAAAGGUACUCCGGGGAUAACAGGCUGAUACCGCCCAAGAGUUCAUAUCGACGGCGGUGUUUGGCACCUCGAUGUCGGCUCAUCACAUCCUGGGCUGAAGUAGGUCCCAAGGGUAUGGCUGUUCGCCAUUUAAAGUGGUACGCGAGCUGGGUUUAGAACGUCGUGAGACAGUUCGGUCCCUAUCUGCCGUGGGCGCUGGAGAACUGAGGGGGCUGCUCCUAGUACGAGAGGACCGGAGUGGACGCAUCACUGGUGUUCGGGUUGUCAUGCCAAUGGCACUGCCCGGUAGCUAAAUGCGGAAGAGAUAAGUGCUGAAAGCAUCUAAGCACGAAACUUGCCCCGAGAUGAGUUCUCCCUGAGACUUAGAGUCUCCUGAAGGAACGUUGAAGACGACGACGUUGAUAGGCCGGGUGUGUAAGCGCAGCGAUGCGUUGAGCUAACCGGUACUAAUGAACCGUGAGGCUUAACCUU